rnacentral:lncRNA from 1 species
UGGAUCCCCAACAAUGUCAAGUCAACUGUCUGCGACAUCCCACCAACCGGUCUUAAGAUGGCAUCAACCUUCAUCGGGAACUCAACAUCCAUCCAGGAGAUGUUCAGGAGAGUGAGCGAGCAGUUCACUGCCAUGUUCAGGAGGAAGGCUUUCUUGCAUUGGUACACUGGUGAAGGCAUGGACGAGAUGGAGUUCACUGAAGCCGAGAGCAACAUGAAUGAUCUGGUUUCUGAGUACCAGCAGUACCAAGAUGCAACAGCUGAUGAGGAGGAAUACGAGGAUGAGCAGCAAGAGUACGAGGAAGAAAUGUAAUUUCUUCGUCAAAGCAAUAGCGCGCUUCUUU